AUACGUAGGGGACGAGCGUUGUCCGGAAUUACUGGGCGUAAAGGGCGCGCAGGCGGAUAUUUAAGUCAGCUGUAAAAGGCAUGAGCUCAACUCAUGUAUGCGGUUGAAACUGGGUAUCUAGAGUGCUGGAGAGGUAGGCGGAAUUCCCGGUGUAGCGGUGAAAUGCGUAGAUAUCAGGAAGAAUACCAGUGGCGAAGGCGGUUUGCUGGCUGCAUACUGACGCUGAAGCGCGAAAGCCAGGGGAGCAAACGGGAUUAGAUACCCCGGUAGUCCUGGCAGUAAACGAUGUAUGCUGGGUGUGGGAGUAGCGAUACCUCCGUGCCGAAGUUAACGCGAUAAGCAUUCCGCCUGGGGAGUACGAUCGCAAGAUUGAAACUCAAAGGAAUUGGCGGGG
rnacentral:rRNA from 1 species